ACUCCUACGGGAGGCAGCAGUGGGAAUAUUGCACAAUGGGGCAGCCAAGCCUGAUGCAGCCAUGCCGCGUGUAUGAAGAAGGCCUUCGGGUUGAUAAGUACUUUCAGUCAGUGAGGAAGGUAGUGUAGUUAAUAGCGCAUUAUUGAUCGUUAGCUGCAGAAGAAGCACCGGCUAACUCCGUGCCAGCAGCCGCGGUAAUACGGAGGGUGCGAGCGUUAAUCGGAAUUACUGGGCGUAAAGCGCAUGCAGGUGGUUUGUUAAGUCAGAUGUGAAAGCCCGGGGCUCAACCUCGGAAUAUGCAUUGAACUGGCAGACUAGAGUACUGGUAGAUGGGGUAGAAGUUUCAGGUGUAGCA
rnacentral:rRNA from 1 species